GAUGAACGCUGGCGGCGUGCUUAACACAUGCAAGUCGAACGGAAAGGCCAGUGCUUGCACUGGUACUCGAGUGGCGAACGGGUGAGUAACACGUGGGUGAUCUGCCCUGCACUUCGGGAUAAGCCUGGGAAACUGGGUCUAAUACCGGAUAGGACAAUGGUUUGGAUGCCGUUGUGGAAAGUUUUUUCGGUGUGGGAUGAGCUCGCGGCCUAUCAGCUUGUUGGUGGGGUAAUGGCCUACCAAGGCGUCGACGGGUAGCCGGCCUGAGAGGGUGUACGGCGAGUGUGGGAGUAGGAAGAGCGCCAGAAUCCUGGGGGGGGGCGCAGGGGGGGGGAUUGGGGGAUGGGGGGAAGGCGGAUGGCGGGACGGAGGGGCGGGGGGGACGGCGUGCGGGUAGGAAACAAAUGUCGCUGGGGAAGAAGCGGGUUAGCGGAGGUGCCAGGAAGAGAAACAACAGCUAGUUUCAGG
rnacentral:rRNA from 1 species